AUGAACGCUGGCGGCGUGCCUAAUACAUGCCAGUCGAGCGAACAGACGAGGAGCCUGCUCCUCUGACGUUAGCGGCGGACGGGUGAGUAACACGUGGAUAACCUACCUAUAAGACUGGGAUAACUUCGGGAAACCGGAGCUAAUACCGGAUAAUAUAUUGAACCGCAUGGUUCAAUAGUGAAAGACGGUUUUGCUGUCACUUAUAGAUGGAUCCGCGCCGCAUUAGCUAGUUGGUAAGGUAACGGCUUACCAAGGCAACGAUGCGUAGCCGACCUGAGAGGGUGAUCGGCCACACUGGAACUGAGACACGGUCCAGACUCCUACGGGAGGCAGCAGUAGGGAAUCUUCCGCAAUGGGCGAAAGCCUGACGGAGCAACGCCGCGUGAGUGAUGAAGGUCUUCGGAUCGUAAAACUCUGUUAUUAGGGAAGAACAAAUGUGUAAGUAACUAUGCACGUCUUGACGGUACCUAAUCAGAAAGCCACGGCUAACUACGUG
rnacentral:rRNA from 1 species